UAAGAAAGGCCUUCCCUAGAAAUCCCAGUUUUUUAACACACAGCCUUUUCAAAGAGAAUGCAUACAUUCUAUUAUGUUAUUCUUUAUCCUGCAGUUACUGGUAAAGAUUUAUUACCUCAUGUGAAGUUGAAUUAUCCUUAUGCCUGGAAAUAGAUACAUCCACUAGAGAGAAACAGACGCUAAAUAAAUGGCUUAAUCCAUUGCAGAAGAAAAACCUUAUGCUGAUCUGUUUAUGUUAAAGAUGUCAUAACCCCUUGGGUGUUGCUCACUAACCGCUCGUUCACGACUUCUCCCCCUUGAGACCACAGUACAGACAUCAAAGACACAGCUGGAUAAACCGUAUAGAUUGGAUCCUACGCAAAAAUUAUCAUAAACACUAAGAAGCCACAAAGAAUGUGGAAGGAAUGAUCAUUUCGAUCCAACAAGUUAUUAAAAUUCUUUCAGUCCAUCUGCUUAUUGAGUACCAACUACCACCUCCAGCGAAGGACCUAUGCUACCCCCCAAUUCAGCAUGAAAAAGACAGCAGUGGAAAUGUUUCAAGUUUGCCCAGCCUCACAGCUAAACGUGG
rnacentral:lncRNA from 1 species